rnacentral:misc_RNA from 1 species
GAUGAAGAACGUAGCGAAAUGCGAUAAGUAAUGUGAAUUGCAGAAUUCAGUGAAUCAUCGAGUCUUUGAACGCACAUUGCGCCCCCUGGUAUUCCGGGGGGCAUGCCUGUCCGAGCGUCAUUGCUGCCCUCAAGCACGGCUUGUGUGUUGGGCCCCCGUCCCCGGUUUCCCCCGGGGACGGGCCCGAAAGGCAGCGGCGGCACCGCGUCCGGUCCUCGAGCGUAUGGGGCUUUGUCACCCGCUCUGUAGGCCCGGCCGGCGCCAGCCGACACCCAACUUUAUUUCUAAGGUUGCCCUCGGAUCAGGUAGGGAUACCCGCUGAACUUAAGCAUAUCAAUAAGCGGAGGA